GGACGAUGGAUGGCGUUGCCACCGGGAACGAACGCACGGCGUAUAAGCUGAAAGGCUACUUUGAAUUGGCCAAAGAAGAGAUCGCCAAAGCUGUUAGAGCUGAAGAAUGGGGCUUGGCUGAUGAAGCAAUUGCACAUUACCAUAAUUCUCAAAAGAUACUCGCCGAAGGCAUUUCUACUCCGGUUCCUUCCUAUAUAGCUUCUAGUGAACGAGAAAGUGAAAUCAUAUCGUCAAAAGAUAUCAAAAUGGCAGUCUCAAGUUUCAGACAGACUUCA
rnacentral:misc_RNA from 1 species